rnacentral:lncRNA from 1 species
ACACUGGAAGGGAAGAGGAAGGAAGUACAUUGGUUCUUCAGGAGGCGGGGGAUGCGGUGGACAGGAGAAGUAGCAGUGACAUGGUACCCUCUUGACUCUUGCAAACAAAAUCUACCCUGGUUACCACAAAUGCUUUUCUCCAUGCCUUUGCUUUUGAAAGUAUUAGCUACAAGGAUGAGUCUGGGAUCCAAAGUGGACACUGUGGUGAAAAGCAUGGCUACUUCUGGAAAGAACUCAGAUGAAGAGAAGGAGGGGAAAGGAGGAUUGUCAGUCUUCAUUUGGUAUCAGAGAUGCCUUUGAACUUCAGGAAAGCCGCCAUUUUGUUUUUGUUCACUUCUCUAAUGCUUUGUGUCUGCAACAUGAAACACAAGUACAUUCCACGGGACUGAACAGAUUCAUGACAAAAGAACAUUCUAUUUGGUCAAAUUUGAAUUUCAAGAGAUGGCCAACUUUUAAUGAGAAGGCAUUAUGGUUUUGUUUCCCUUUUCUUUAUGUGACUCAGUGA